ACGCAUUCAGGGUGUGGUUUAGGGUGCGGCUGGCUUGGCACCCAAAUCCUACCAUUUAUUUUUCCUCUUCUCUGGAGUUCCCAGCCAAAAAGCAUAUUCACCAAAGAAUCAGCAGCCAUAUGGGAAAGAAGCAGAAGCAGAGGUAGAAAAGGGAAAUGGAAACCUUACCCAACAUCAAGAAGCUGUGAAAUGAUAGAGGAUGUGAAGAUUUCUUGUUAGAAGCCGCUCUGGUGGAAAGAGUACGGUGGCCACAUAAAAGGUUUUUCUGGAAUUCAG
rnacentral:lncRNA from 1 species